rnacentral:rRNA from 1 species
GACGAACGCUGGCGGCGUGCCUAAUACAUGCAAGUUGAGCGCUGAAGGUUGGUACUUGUACCAACUGGAUGAGCAGCGCACGGGUGAGUAACGCGUGGGGAAUCUGCCUUUGAGCGGGGGACAACAUUUGGAAACGAAUGCUAAUACCGCAUAAAAACUUUAAACACAAGUUUUAAGUUUGAAAGAUGCAAUUGCAUCACUCAAAGAUGAUCCCGCGUUGUAUUAGCUAGUUGGUGAGGUAAAGGCUCACCAAGGCGAUGAUACAUAGCCGACCUGAGAGGGUGAUCGGCCGCAUUGGGACUGAGACACGGCCCAAACUCCUACGGGAGGCAGCAGUAGGGAAUCUUCGGCAAUGGACGAAAGUCUGACCGAGCAACGCCGCGGGAGUGAAGAAGGUUUUCGGAUCGUAAAACUCUGUUGGUAGAGAAGAACGUUGGUGAGAGUGGAAAGCUCAUCAAGUGACGGUAACUACCCAGAAAGGGACGGCUAACUACGUG